rnacentral:RNase_P_RNA from 1 species
CAAGUAGGUCGGAUGAUCGCUGAUAUUUCCUUGAGAAAUAUGGGAGGAAAGUCCGAGCACCAAUGGAUACUUUGCUGGCUAACGGCCAGGACGCGAAAGCGUACGGAUAGUGCAACAGAAAACAAACCGCCAUCUUCGGAUGGUAAGGGCGAAACUGUGGGGUAAGAGCCCACACCUGUGCAGGCGACUGUCACUUGAGGUAAACCCCAAAGGGUGCAAGGUCAAAUAGGGAAACACGUAAAAGGUGAUUCAUCAUUUUUUACAAAAGCCAUCCAUGCUUGUUUCCGGGUAGACUGCUUGAGUGUCACAGUAAUGUGAUGCCUAGAGAAAUGAUCAUCAUUUGUUGUUUAUCAACAAAUACAGAACUCGGCUUAUAGACCCACUUGUUUU